rnacentral:rRNA from 1 species
CCUACGGGAGGCAGCAGUGGGGAAUAUUGCACAAUGGGGGAAACCCUGAUGCAGCGACGCCGCGUGAGUGAAGAAGUAUUUCGGUAUGUAAAGCCCUUUCAGCCGGGGAAAAAAUGACGGUACCUGACCAAGAAGCCCCGGCUAACUACGGGCCAGCAGCCGCGGGAAUACGUAAGGGGCAGGCGUGAUCCGGAUUUACUGGGUGUAAAGGGGGCGUAGACGGCAGGGCAAGUGUGGAGUGAAAGGCGGGGGGUCAACCCCCGGACUGCUCUGGAAACUGGCAGGCUGGAGUGCAGGAGAGGUAAGUGGAAUUCCCAGUGUAGCGGUGAAAUGCGUAGAUAUUAGGAGGAACACCAGUGGCGAAGGCGGCUUACUGG